rnacentral:rRNA from 1 species
AUUGAACGCUGGCGGCAGGCUUAACACAUGCAAGUCGAGCGGGGUGAUGGUGCUUGCACUAUCACUUAGCGGCGGACGGGUGAGUAAUGCUUAGGAAUCUGCCUAUUAGUGGGGGACAACAUCUCGAAAGGGAUGCUAAUACCGCAUACGUCCUACGGGAGAAAGCAGGGGAUCACUUGUGACCUUGCGCUAAUAGAUGAGCCUAAGUCGGAGUAGCUAGUUGUGGGGGUAAAGGCCUACCAAGGCGACGAUCUGUAGCGGGUCUGAGAGGAUGAUCCGCCACACUGGGACUGGGACACGGCCCAGACUCCUACGGGAGGCAGCAGUGGGGAAUAUUGGACAAUGGGGGGAACCCUGAUCCAGCCAUGCCGCGGGUGUGAAGAAGGCCUUAUGGUUGUAAAGCACUUUAAGCGAGGAGGAGGCUCUUUUGGUUAAUACCCAAGAUGAGUGGACGUUACUCGCAGAAUAAGCACCGGCUAACUACGUGCCAGCAGCCGCCGUAA